UACGGAGGGGGCUAGCGUUGUUCGGAAUUACUGGGCGUAAAGCGCACGUAGGCGGCUUUGUAAGUUAGAGGUGAAAGCCCAGGGCUCAACCCUGGAAUUGCCUUUAAGACUGCAUCGCUUGAAUCAUGGAGAGGUGAGUGGAAUUCCGAGUGUAGAGGUGAAAUUCGUAGAUAUUCGGAAGAACACCAGUGGCGAAGGCGACUCACUGGCCCGGUACUGACGCUGAGGUGCGAAAGCGUGGGGAGCAAACAGG
rnacentral:rRNA from 1 species